rnacentral:rRNA from 1 species
AUACGGAAGGUCCGGGCGUUAUCCGGAUUUAUUGGGUUUAAAGGGAGCGCAGGCGGAGAUGCAAGCGUGACGUCAAAUUUCGGGGCUCAACCCCGUCUCGCGUCGCGAACUGCGUCCCUUGGUUGCGGGAAGGGGAGGCGGAACUCGUGGUGUAGCGGUGAAAUGCAUAGAUAUCACGAAGAACUCCGAUCGCGAAGGCAGCCUUCCGGCCCGUCAACGACGCUCAUGCUCGAAGGUGCGGGUAUCAAACAGGAGUAGAUACCCUGGUAGUCCGCACAGUAAACGAUGGACACCCGCGGUUUGGCCUGUAUGGCUGAGCCGCCAAGCGAAAGCGUUAAGUGUCCCACCUGGGGAGUACGCCGGCAACGGUGAAACUCAAAUGAAUUGGCGGGG